AUUGAACGCUGGCGGCAUGCUUUACACAUGCAAGUCGAACGGUAACAGGGUGCUUGCACCGCUGACGAGUGGCGAACGGGUGAGUAAUGCAUCGGAAUGUACCGUGUAAUGGGGGAUAGCUCGGCGACAGCCGGAUUAAUACCGCAUACGCCCUGAGGGGGAAAGUGGGGGACCGAAAGGCCUCACGUUAUACGAGCAGCCGAUGUCUGAUUAGCUAGUUGGUGAGGUAAAGGCUCACCAAGGCGUCGAUCAGUAGCGGGUCUGAGAGGAUGAUCCGCCACACUGGAACUGAGACACGGCCCAGACUCCUACGGGAGGCAGCAGUGGGGAAUUUUGGACAAUGGGCGCAAGCCUGAUCCAGCCAUGCCGCGUGUCUGAAGAAGGCCUUCGGGUUGUAAAGGACUUUUGUCCGGGAGCAAAUCCUAGUGGUUAAUAUCCGCUGGGUCUGAGAGUACCGGAAGAAUAAGCACCGGCUAACUACGUG
rnacentral:rRNA from 1 species